UAAAAUUUGCCUAUAAUAAUAGCUAUCUUUCUAGUAUUAAGAUGGUACCUUAUGAAGCUUUUUAUGGAAGGAAGUGCAGAUCUCCUCUGUAUUGAGAUAAUGUUGGACAAAAGUAGUUAUUGGGUCCUGAGUUAGUCCAAAAUGUCAAACAGAAAAUUACAGUGAUCAAGAAAAGACUUAAGGCAGCUCAAGAUAAACAAAAGAGUUGGGCAGAAAAGAAAGAGAGAUGAAAUUUUUAGAGGGUGACUUUUUCUUCUUGAAGGUUUUACUCUCAAAAAGUGUCAUGAGAUUUGGGAGACCUAGUAAACCGAGUCCUCGCUACAUUGGGCCCUUUGAGAUUUUGGAUGGAGUGGAAGAGGUUGUUUAUAGUUUAGCUUUGCUGCUAGAGCUAUUUAGUGUACACAAUAUCUUCCAUAUUUUUUUUAUUGAGAAAGUACAUUCUAAAUCUGAAUAUUCAGGGUGUAAAGCAUGCUGUCAUUAUCUGAUUUCGAAUUCAUGCGUAUAACCAUAAACAUUUCUAACUUUUGAGUUCAUGAUGUACUUUGGCCAGAUCUUGGGAUCAAAGCAUGGUUGGAUCAUCAUAAGCACCCGGUGUUUGGGUUCCCAACAUUGGUUCGCUUCAGUUGGGGGACAUGCAACCCCUACUUCAAGGAUACAGUUGAAGUCAUCUGGGAGUCUGAUAAGCUGAAUGAGGAUGGCUCUAAUGAUAAUGGUGGUAAGCGGCAGUUGAAGUUGUCUAAUGUUGGUUUCACUGGAUAUAAAAAGAAAAGUGAGGAUAUUGAAUAUAGUGGUAAGGGUCGCUGUAAGUUCUUCCAGGCUCUUGAACUUGAGUUGGUUGCUAAUUUCUAGCAAUGCUGUCGACCCUGCCCUGUGGCACAUUAACAUCUGGGCUUUAAUUUGGCUUAGGCUUUCGAAUGUAAUUGCAAUCCAAGAUUCCAUGUCAUGUUUGGCAGAUAUUAUAUGAACAAGUUUUCAAUUCUUGUUUGAGGUUGGAA